AAGUGCGUGGUCUACACGGGGGCAGCCUGUCUAAUAAUGCCCGCUUUGCUGGCUGCCUUUCUGUCCCCGGCUCGUCUCUCCAUUGACUCCUGGGCGUUUGCUGGUCUCACCGCCUACAAAGCACUCCCUGCACUGUGGCCUCUGCUGCUGUGCUUCUGGGGAGAGCCAGACAAACAGCGUCCGAAUGGAUGGGCUGCGCCCCGCGGGUGGUGGCGCCCUCCACUAACACAGGAGGAGAGGACGGCUAUAACCAACCAAUUAACUGAGCGCUUCCGUUUUGGGGGGAACGGAGGAAAACGCUUCUAUUCCUUUUGUGAAAUCACCACCUAGAACAACGCCACCCAAGGUGCAUUCGGUCAUCCGUUGACGGCUUUAAGGAUAUUUUGUCCUCACACCCCACACUCCUGCAGAAGGCGACAGCAGUUUUAACUCAUCGUUUUAGUAUGGAUUCCUGAUGUCACCGCUGUCUAAGAUGAUUGCAGCAAGUGGAAAGGCUGGACACCCACAAACGGCACACUGAGUCCACCGUGAAGGCCCUGGGCCGAGGAGCGUUACGCCUCCAACGAUACUCGCAGCUGAUGCCUCCCCGGUGGUGUUUUUGGCCUCUGAAGGCGUAUGGAAGAGGACUUCACCCCGCCGACAGAAGUUUCCUGUGAAGAACUAUAACGCAUACGCUGAAAGCAUCUGAAUAGCCAUGUUUUAGAAAAGCAGUUCUUAAGUGGC